rnacentral:rRNA from 1 species
AGUGAACGCUGGCGGUAGGCCUAACACAUGCAAGUCGAACGGCAGCACAGUAAGAGCUUGCUCUUACGGGUGGCGAGUGGCGGACGGGUGAGGAAUACAUCGGAAUCUACUUUUUCGUGGGGGAUAACGUAGGGAAACUUACGCUAAUACCGCAUACGACCUACGGGUGAAAGCAGGGGAUCUUCGGACCUUGCGCGAUUGAAUGAGCCGAUGUCGGAUUAGCUAGUUGGCGGGGUAAAGGCCCACCAAGGCGACGAUCCGUAGCUGGUCUGAGAGGAUGAUCAGCCACACUGGAACUGAGACACGGUCCAGCCUACUACUGGAGGCAGCAGUGGGGAAUAUUGGACAAUGGGCGCCAGCCUGCUCCAGCCAUACCGCGGGGGUGGAGAAGGCCUUCGGGUUGUAAAGACCUUUUGUUGGGAAAGAAAAGCAGCAGGUUAAUACCCCGCUGUUCUGACGGUACCCAACGAAUAAGCACCGGCUAACUUCGUG